rnacentral:lncRNA from 1 species
UAUACUCAGAGUCUUAGUCAAAAUUUUCAUCACUCCAUUAAUCAAGCUGAUCGGUCUAUAAUCACCAACUUUCAAGCUUUCUUGUUUCUUUAGUGUGAUUAGAGAGUAGUUCAGCCUGUCAAUUCUUACUGUAAUUCCAAAAUUUCCAUUAAAGAGAUUAAGAAUAUCAUUCUUGAUCAGUUACCAGUAUCUCUGAUAAAAUGAGCCUGGAAAUCCAUUUGGUCCAUGCCCAUUGCUUUCGUUGCCUCUGAAAUCUAACUUGAAGAAAAGGAAAGAUCA